rnacentral:rRNA from 1 species
AACGAACGCUGGCGGCAUGCCUAACACAUGCAAGUCGAACGAGACCGUCGGGUGUAGUGGCGCACGGGUGCGGACCGCGUGGGAACCUGCCCUUAGGUUCGGCAUAACUCCCCGAAAGGGGUGCUAAUCCGGAUCAUCUUCUCGGGCCAAAGGGUUUUCGCCCUGGGGUUGGCCCGCGCUGGGUUAGCUAGUUGGUAGGGUGAAAGCCUACCAAGGCGACGGUCCAUAGCUGGCCUUACAGGAUGAACCGCCACACUGGGACUGGGACACGGCCCAGACUCCUACGGGAGGCAGCAGUGGGGAAUAUUGGACACUGGGCGCGAGCGUGAUCCAGCAAUGCCGCGUGAGUGAUGAAGGCCUUAGGGUUGUAAAGCUCUUUUACCCGGGAUGAUAAUGACAGUACCGGGAGAAUAAGCUCCGGCUAACUCCGUG